rnacentral:rRNA from 1 species
CCUCAAAUCAGGUAGGACUACCCGCUGAACUUAAGCAUAUCAAUAAGCGGAGGAAAAGAAACUAACAAGGAUUCCCCUAGUAACGGCGAGUGAAGCGGGAUGAGCUCAAAUUUAAAAUCUUGCAGCCUCAGGUUGUACGAGUUGUAGUCUAGAGAAUCGUUUUCCGCGUUGGCCUGUGUACAAGUCCCUUGGAACAGGGCGUCAUAGAGGGUGAGAAUCCCGUCCUUGACACAGACUACCAAUGCUUUGUGAUGCGAUCUCGAAGAGUCGAGUUGUUUGGGAAUGCAGCUCAAAAUGGGUGGUAAAUUCCAUCUAAAGCUAAAUAUUGGCGAGAGACCGAUAGCGAACAAGUACCGUGAGGGAAAGAUGAAAAGCACUUUGGAAAGAGAGUUAAACAGUACGUGAAAUUGUUAAAAGGGAAACGAUUGAAGUCAGUCAUGCUCUCCGAGACUCAGCCGAUUCUGUCGGUGUACUUCUCGGUUGGCAGGCCAGCAUCAGUUUUGAUCUGUGGAAAAGGUUGGAGAGAAUGUGGCAUCUUCGGAUGUGUUAUAGCUCUUCUUCGAAUACAUAGAGCGGGACUGAGGAACGCAGCGUGCCUUUUAUUAGGUUGGCCUUCGGGUACAUACACGC